rnacentral:rRNA from 1 species
UACAGAGGUCCCAAGCGUUGUUCGGAUUCACUGGGCGUAAAGGGUGCGUAGGUGGCUAGGUAAGUUUGAUGUGAAAGCUCUGGGCUCAACCCAGAAAUGGCAUUGAAUACUAUCUAGCUAGAGGAGUGGAGGGGGGACUGGAAUUCUUGGUGUAGCAGUGAAAUGCGUAGAGAUGUGGAGGAACACCGAUGGCGAAGGCAGCCCCCUGGGCUAACACUGACGCUCAUGCACGAAAGCGUGGGGAGCAAACAGG